rnacentral:tRNA from 1 species
GCCUGGGUGGCGGAAUUGGUAGACGCAAAGGACUUAAAAUCCUUCGAAGGUUUCCUUCGUACCGGUUCGACUCCGGUCCCGGGCA